AACGAACGCUGGCGGCGUGCCUAACACAUGCAAGUCGAGCGGGAAAGCCCGCAAGGGUGAGUACAGCGGCGCACGGGUGCGUAACACGUGGGUAAUCUGCCCAGAAGCCCGGAAUAACCUCCCGAAAGGGAAGCUAAUACCGGAUAAGACCACGGGAACUUCGGUUCCUGCGGGAAAAGGUGGCCUCUGCAUGCAAGCUAUCACUUCUGGAUGAGCCCGCGGCCCAUCAGCUCGUUGGCGGGGUAAUGGCCCACCAAGGCUACGACGGGUAGCUGGUCUGAGAGGACGAUCAGCCACACUGGAACUGAGACACGGUCCAGACUCCUACGGGAGGCAGCAGUGGGGAACCUUGCGCAAUGGGCGAAAGCCUGACGCAGCGACGCCGCGUGGGUGAUGAAGGCCUUCGGGUUGUAAAGCCCUGUGGGGAGGGAAGAAUGAGGUCGGGCGAACAGUCCGGCCGAUGACGGUACCUCCUUAGCAAGCACCGGCUAACUCUGUGCCAGCAGCCGCCGUAACAC
rnacentral:rRNA from 1 species